AUAACUAGUAAAUUACUAGGGAACACAAAAAAAGCAAUGCAUUAAUAUCCACUAUUAUUAAAAAAAACAAAAGCAGACUAAACAUAUUACGUUCUUUAAUGGCUUAAAUGUUUGUGUUGUUUUUAAAAAAAUAAAUAAAUAAUGGGAAAAUGUGAGAGGUACAGUAACAGAAACAAGAAAUCCUCAAUCUCGUCCUCUCUCUUCUCAAUCUCGUCCUCU
rnacentral:lncRNA from 1 species